rnacentral:rRNA from 1 species
GGAUUCCCCCUAGUACUGCGAGUGAAGCGGGAAGAGCUCAAAUUUGAAAUCUGGCGGUUCUUGACCGUCCGAGUUGUAAUCUAGAGAAGUGCUACCUGUGCUGGACCGUGUACAAGUCUCCUGGAAUGGAGCAUCACAGAGGGUGAGAAUCCCGUCUUUGACACGGACUGCCUGUACGUCAUGGUGCGCUCUCGAAGAGUCGAGUUGUUUGGGAAUGCAGCUCAAAAUGGGUGGUAAAUGCCAUCUAAAGCUAAAUAUUGGCGAGAGACCGAUAGCGAACAAGUACCGUGAGGGAAAGAUGAAAAGAACUUUGGAAAGAGAGUUAAACAGUACGUGAAAUUGCUGAAAGGGAAACGCUUGAAGUCAGUCGCGUCGGCUAGAAAUCAGCCUUGCUUUUGCUUGGUGUACUUUCUUGUUGACGGGUCAGCAUCAAUUUCGACCGUCGGACAAAGUCGUCGGGAAUGUGGCAUCUUCGGAUGUGUUAUAGCCUGGCGUCGCAUACGGUGGUUGGGAUUGAGGAACUCAGCACGCCGCAAGGCCGGGUCUUUUUUGACCACGUCCGUGCUUAGGAUGCUGGCAUAAUGGCUUUAAUCGACCCGUCUUGAAACACGGACCAAGGAGUCUAACAUGCCUGCGAGUGUUUGGGUGGAAAACCCAUGUGCGAAAUGAAAGUGAAAGUUGAGAUCCCCUCUGGGAGAGCAUUGACGCCCGGACCAGACCUUUUGCGAAGGAUCCGCGGUAGAGCAUGUAUGUUGGGACCCGAAAGAUGGUGAACUAUGCCUGAAUAGGGUGAAGCCAGAGGAAACUCUGGUGGAGGCUCGUAGCGAUUCUGACGUGCAAA